AAUCUACAGAUCCAACUGAAAUCUUACUUUGUUUUGUAAACGAUUGAACAAGAAUUACGUUUCGAACAGUAUGCGAGCGAAACCGCGGGCAAAAGCUAGUAAAUCCUGUACUACUACGCAUUACCUAUUUAUCUCAUUUUAUAACUAAUAUGGUUCUACGAUCCGUUAUUUAGCAAAACAUAGAAAGUUUGAAAUUUGGUGUUCUUCAACUGACCUUUUAAUUUGUCAUAGUAUACUAGCAGUCUAAACAAAGUUUUACUAUAAUAAUAUUUUUCUCCUCAAUGAAACUCCACAGAAUAUAUUUAUUAUCAUGGAUGUUUCCCUUGUAUACAAGCAUGUUUUUAUCCAUUCAAAUAGGCAUAUCGUCGCUUAGCACCCAUAGCACAAAAUUUGAUAGGUUUGGGGCUAAGUUGAACUGUGUAAGAUGUCCCCAAUAUUUAUUUAUUUAUUUCAUAUUUAUAUAAAAAAAAGCAUUAAGAUUGAAUGUAAACGUCAAAUCACUGUCUCUAUUUUAUUAUUCUACAAUUCGUUCCACAUAGUCUGCAGAGCCCCAUUCAUACUGGAUAAAUUUUAGUCGCAUCCGGUCCGUCAAAUGUCUUAUGAUCUAUAGAGCCCUUUUGAUUUUUCUAUGGCAACAUUUGCUAUGCUGACGUCAUUGCCACGUCAUUACUGUCAGUCAGACAGAAAUAAAAGAAAAAUGGAUGCCGUUCAGACGUACACGCAUUAUUUGGAACUGAAAAUUACGUAAUUUAUCGACCUGCUGGCUUGUAUUUGUUAUAAAUCAUAAAAAAAUUAUGGAAAACAUCAUGAACAAUAAUGAAACAAACCGAACCUUUAGCUACAAUAAUAAAAUGACCCCAUGACGCCAGUGGAACUACGUGGUUUUCUUUCAUGAUGAUUUGAUGAUACCAUAAUGGAAUUAGCCAAGUUUUCGCCGUAUUGGGUGCUAGAUGCCCCUUGGAGUUAAGCCCCAGUGCCACUAUACUACCUUACCAGUUAUGUGUGGGUGUUGUAGUCCUAAGACACCCCGGAGGUACAAAGGGCCUUCACAAACUCACGCCACGCCUUCCUAUCUUCAGCAACCCUCGUGACCUCGCUCCACCAGCUCAAACCUGCCAGUCGCAGCUCAUUUUUCGACGGACCGCUUCCAUGAGUAGACAAGGCACCGACGAUCACGGCUUGCAUCACCUGUACUGCUUCGUAAUAUAGCAUGCUGAACAAUACUGCCAUUAUACUAGGAUCAACGUCCUGCCCCUUCCCCGGCUGUGUACAAAUUGGAACUCCAUUUGCAUGCCCCUUUGACUGAGCAACGUGUGUGUGUGUGCUCGAAACACAUUCACUUGCAACAGAAUGACUCCCAGGCUGACCUGGCUCAGCUCCUGUAUGUCUGUUCUACAUAGACAAUGGUUUCAAUGAAAGAGUGAAAAUUCUUCUCCAUGUACAAUCACUUCUAACGCCUACACUGACUACACCAAAUAUGAUCAUCACUCAACGUGUCUCACAUCAAGAUACUUUUCAAAAGUCAUCGAGAAGAGGAACAUAAUAUCUUUUCCCAUGGUUUCCUGAAUAAUCCUAACUAAAAGUUACUUCUCUAUUCUAUUUUUCCUGCAUGGAGUGGCGCUUUUCCGUCUAAUGGAAACGAAAUGAACAUAUAUGCUCUGGGUUUUUUUUUUUUUUGUGCACCUUUUCAAUAUUACUAAUAAAGCAUUUUGUGGGUGUUUCAUUUACCACCUUCCUUCAUAAUUUUGCUAGUGUGUGAUUCACCAUAUCCCUAAUUAUUAAAUGCAAUAGCUACUGCAAUCUGUUCACUGAUGGGAAUCAUUUCAUGUUAACACAGCUUUGAAUACUAUCUUAAAUAAUGACUCAGACUGACUGUCAAUAAAAAUAUUCCUAGCUAUAAGCUUGCCUGAGGUUAAUGAAUGGUGUGCCUAACUCCUUACUUGAGUACACUUAAGUACUAUGCUUAAAUUCUAGAUUGUAUGUUCUUGACAUUCUUGUCAAUAAGCUACUUGAAUGUUUGUCUCUUUCAAGUAAUUAUAAUUUGUUCACACUUCAGUGGAAGACAACUAAUCCUUAGUUGU